UACGUAGGGACCAAGCGUUGUUCGGAUUUACUGGGCGUAAAGGGCGCGUAGGCGGUGCGGUAAGUCACUUGUGAAAUCUCUGAGCUUAACUCAGAACGGCCAAGUGAUACUGCAGUACUAGAGUGCAGAAGGGGCAAUCAGAAUUCUUGGUGUAGCGGUGAAAUGCGUAGAUAUCAAGAGGAAUACCUGAGGCGAAGGCGGGUUGCUAGGCUGACACUGACGCUGAGGCGCGAAAGCCAGGGGAGCAAACGGG
rnacentral:rRNA from 1 species